UACGGAGGGUGCAAACGUUGCUCGGAAUCAUUGGGCGUAAAGCGCACGUAGGCGGUCCAGCAAGUCGGGUGUGAAAGCCCUCGGCUUAACCGAGGAAGUGCAUUCGAAACUACUGGACUUGAGUACUGAAGAGGAUCGCGGAAUUCCCGGUGUAGAGGUGAAAUUCGUAGAUAUCGGGAGGAACACCAGUGGCGAAGGCGACUACCUGGCCCAUUCUUGACGCUGAGGCGCGAAAGCUAGGGGAGCGAACGGG
rnacentral:rRNA from 1 species